GAUCUGUAGUCUUGGACCCGCGCUGGGUUGGUGGUACCCUAGAGCACACCAGGACUUGCAGAAAAAGCAUACUCCAGAGGAAGCUGAGGCAUGCCUGCUCCAGAGCCAGCAGUUCCAUGUGCAAUUUUCCUCUGAUAGGUCACAGUACUGUUGCCACGGCGAUGAUGACCACGCCAUGUCAUCAUCUAUCCACCAACAGUAAGAGAAACUUUGCAGUCAAGAUAUUGGCUAGCAGACGGAGUGGGUUCUGUUGGACACUAAGCACUGCUACAAAG